GGACCUGAAAGCUGUCAGCGCUUUAGUUUGGGAGUUUGUCUGGAAACCGUCAUUUAGAGCCGCUUACCAGCAG